GGUAAAAUGAGUCGACCGAAUGAGUGCACCCAAAUCGUAAAUCAAUGCCAAAUCAUAAGUAAAUAGGAAUAAAAAACAAUAUGGUAAACAAAUAUAAAGCACUACAUUCAAAUAAAAAUAAUUACUAGACCCUUUAUUGUGAGGCAGCACAUGACUUAGACUGAGACUUAGACAAAAACUUAUGAUCAUUUUGUAUACAAAACAAAAUUUCAAUGCAUACACUUUCCAACAGUGAAUGAGCAGCUUACAGCAGUGAAAUUAACAUUUACAUUUAUAAAGUGCACCAGUGACCAGAAGGAUAUGGUGGAAAUGCAGUACAGAACAUUGAAAAUUCACCAUGUAGUGCAAAAGGGAUGUUUUGUUCGAUCUGUGAUUGAAUGCUGUGAAGCCUCCCCCAUGUUCUAAUUUGAUUGCGAUGUAUAGAUUAUGGAAUAAAAGAUCUGAAAGGUGCUACCGUGACUAGAUCGGCGGGAAAAAGAUAGGGAUCAUAGGAUUCAGCUUCAAUUUUAGGUUAAAAAAAAGCAUACUUGACUUUUAUACUGGUUUUUGUAAACAUUAAUAAACUUUGUGUUUCAUCGCAGCUAUCUGCAUACUGCCCUGUCUGAACGGAGGGCGCUGUGUGGCACCGUACCAGUGCCAGUGUCCUGCUGGGUGGACAGGCACCCGAUGUCACACUGCCGUUUGUUCUUCGCCGUGUCUGAACGGAGGAAGAUGCAUUCGGCCCAACAGGUGUAGCUGCAUUCCUGGUUGGAGUGGGCAUAACUGCUCAAGGAAGAGGAAGUCAGUAUACUACCACUUCUAAAGCCUUCGCCCUCCUCUGCGUGGAAAAUCCUAUGAAGGGAAUUAUUGUAUAAAUGACACUAGUAAACCAUUCACUCAUCUCUGCACAGGCAAAGCAAGAACCAUUC